rnacentral:tRNA from 1 species
GGAAAUGUGCCUGAAUGCUAAAAGGGCCACUUUGAUAGAGUGGAUAAUGGGAGUUAAAUUCUCCUCAUUUCCU